UCCGUAACGCCCAAUAACAGAUG
rnacentral:siRNA from 1 species